rnacentral:rRNA from 1 species
GGCCUACCAUGGUGGUAACGGGUAACGGGGUGUUAGGGCACGACACCGGAGAGGGAGCCUGAGAAACGGCUACCACAUCCAAGGAUGGCAGCAGGCGCGCAAAUUACCCAAUCCCGACACGGGGAGGUAGUGACAAUAAAUAACAAUACGGGGUUCUUUUGGAUCUCGUAAUUGGAAUGAGUACAAUUUAAAUCUCUUAACGAGGAACAAUUGGAGGGCAAGUCUGGUGCCAGCAGCCGCGGUAAUUCCAGCUCCAAUAGCGUAUAUUAAAGUUGUUGCAGUUAAAAAGCUCGUAGUUGAAUUUCGGGGUUAGUAGGUUGGUCAUGCCUCUGGUAUGUACUGGUCUCACUGAUUCCUCCUUCCUGAUGAACCGUAAUGCCAUUAAUUUGGUGUUGCGGGGAAUUUGGACUGUUACUUUGAAAAAAUUAGGGUGUUUAAAGCAAGCUAACGCUUGAAUACAUUAGCAUGGAAUAAUGAAAUAGGACGUUCGAUCCUAUUUUGUUGGUUUCUAGGAUUGACGUAAUGAUUAAUAGGGAUAGUUGGGGGCAUUAGUAUUCAAUUGUCAGAGGUGAAAUUCUUGGAUUUAUUGAAGACUAACUACUGCGAAAGCAUUUGCCAAGGAUGUCUUCAUUAAUCAAGAACGAAAGUUAGGGGAUCGAAGACGAUCAGAUACCGUCGUAGUCUUAACCAUAAACUAUGCCGACUAGGGAUCGGAUGAUGUUAAUUUUUUAAUGACUCAUUCGGCGCCUUACG